rnacentral:rRNA from 1 species
GACGAACGCUGGCGGCGUGCUUAACACAUGCAAGUCGAACGGUUAAGGGACCGGUUUUUGCUGGUUCUGGAUGAGUGGCGAACGGGUGAGUAACACGUGAGUAACCUGCCCCCUUCUUCUGGAUAACCGCAUGAAAGUGUGGCUAAUACGGGAUAUUCUGCGCCUGCUGCAUGGUGGGUGUGGGAAAGAUAUUGUUUCGGUGGGGGAUGGGCUCGCGGCCUAUCAGCUUGUUGGUGGGGUGAUGGCCUACCAAGGCGGUGACGGGUAGCCGGCCUGAGAGGGUGGACGGUCACACUGGGACUGAGACACGGCCCAGACUCCUACGGGAGGCAGCAGUGGGGAAUAUUGCACAAUGGGCGCAAGCCUGAUGCAGCGACGCCGCGUGAGGGAUGGAGGCCUUCGGGUUGUAAACCUCUUUCGCCAGUGAAGCAGGCCUGUCCCUUUUGUGGGUGGGUUGACGGUAGCUGGAUAAGAAGCGCCGGCUAACUACGUG